rnacentral:tRNA from 1 species
UUGAUAUUAGUAUUACUAAUAGUACAUUAAAUUUAGAAUUUAAAAGAAAGCUUUGAGUCUUAUAAAACAAU